GUUGAACGCUAGCUACAGGCUUAACACAUGCAAGUCGAGGGACCGGCGCACGGGUGAGUAACACGUAUCCAUCCUGCCCUUUACUCGGGGAUAGCCUUUCGAACGAAAGACUAAUACCCGAUAUAAAGGAUGGGGAUGCGUUUCAUUAGGUUGUUGGUGAGUUAACGGCCCACCAAGCCUUCGAUGGAUAGGGGUUCUGAGAGGAAGGUCCCCCCGGUUGGAACUAGGACACGGUCCAAAAUCCUACGGGGGGCAGCAGUGAGGAAGAUUGGUGAGUGGACGCUUGCCUGAACCAGCCAAGUAGAGUGAAGGAUGAAGGCUUAUGGGUCGUAAACUUCUUUUCUAUAAGAGGAUGUAUUAUAUGAAUAAGGAUCGGCUAACUCCGUGCCAGCAGCCGCGGUAAUUC
rnacentral:rRNA from 1 species